rnacentral:tRNA from 1 species
GCAGUGACUCAGUCAGUAGAGCAUGAGAUUCUUAAUCUCAGGGUUGUGGGUUUGAGCCCCAUGUUGGGCA